GGAUGCAUGAAAUUCCUGCUGAUGCGCGGGAAUCCCCAGACUGAAGCAGCCCUCCCUGCCCUUGUCAGACCGGGAGAGAACUGCACUGAGGGGCAAUCUGAGCACCAGGAAGAAGUUCCAUCUUACAAAUACCAGUGUCCUGCGUCCAUGGACUGGUCAUGCCUCGACUCCAGCCUUGACAAGAGACUCUCCCUCCUCUCAUCUGUGCUCUAGUGAGUGAACAAGCCAACUGAAGCCCCUCGACUUGCCUUCUGCCGUGAGUACCUUCCCUACCUCUUCACUUCGCUGGUCUCUGUGCAUCCUCCGGAUCUCAGCUUAAAGUCACUUCCUCAGUGAAGCCAUGCCUCAGGAUUCCAAUUUCACCAGGGACAAGAACUGUCCUGUCUAUUUGCAGGGGCUAGCACUGUCUGCCAUGUAGUGGACCCUUAACAAGCCCACGCUGAGUCAAUGAAUGAGGUAGCGAUGAGCACACCAAGGGCAUCAGGCCCCCAUGUGCCACUCAGAUUCUCUGACUCUGCCAGUGUUAAGGUUGGGGUGUGGUUUCCAUCGAGCUACAGUGUCUACUUCUCAACUGGUCAAAACUUGGAGUAAAGGGGCUGGCCCCGAGGCCGAGUUGUUCAGUUUGCACGCUCCGCUGCAGGAGGCCCAGUGUUUCGUUGGUUCGAA